rnacentral:rRNA from 1 species
GACGUAGGAUGCAAGCGUUGUCCGGAUUUAUUGGGCGUAAAGAGUUCGUAGGUGGUUUGUUAAGUCUGAUGUUAAAGACCGGGGCUCAACCUCGGAAGUGCAUUGGAUACUGGCAGACUCGAGUAUGGUAGAGGCGAGUGGAAUUCCCAGUGUAGCGGUGAAAUGCGUAGAUAUUGGGAAGAACACCGGUGGCGAAAGCGACUCGCUGGGCCAUUACUGACACUGAGGAACGAAAGCUAGGGGAGCAAAUGGG